rnacentral:tRNA from 2 species
CGGGACGUAGCGCAGCCUGGUUAGCGCGCCUGCCUUGGGAGCAGGAGGUCGGCGGUUCAAAUCCGCCCGUCCCGACCA